rnacentral:rRNA from 1 species
AUUGAACGCUGGCGGCAGGCCUAACACAUGCAAGUCGAACGAGUGGCGGACGGGUGAGUAAUGUCUGGGAAACUGCCUGAUGGAGGGGGAUCACUACUGGAAACGGUAGCUAAUACCGCAUACCAUCGGAUGUGCCCAGCGGGUAUUAGCUAGUAGGUGGGGUAAGGGCUCACCUAGGCGCCGAUCCCUAGCUGGUCUGAGAGGAUGACCAGCAACACUGGAACUGAGACACGGCCCAGACUCCUACGGGAGGCAGCAGUGGGGAAUAUUGCACAAUGGGCGCAAGCCUGAUGCAGCCAUGCCGCGUGUAUGAAGAAGGCCUUCGGGUUGUAAAGUACUUUCAGCGGGGAGGCGUUACCCGCAGAAGAAGCACCGGCUAACUCCGUGCCAGCAGCCGCGGUAAUAC